AAUGCCCUCUGUGACUUCAAGUGGCAGCACACAGUUUUCUGUUGAAACCAUCAGCAUGACAAAGUCCACCUCACCAUCGACCACAACCCCUAUAUUAGAAUUGAGUACCUCCAUCACCACAGAAAAACUGACCUUUCCAUCAUCUUUACACACAUUGAAGACCUCUGGGAGCACCUCUGAAACCCAGAAGCCUUUGGACAUCACUACCAUUUCCACUUUCCCUACAGAUACCGAAGCAUCAGCCACUCACAUUGCAGUAAAAUCCACAAGUUCUGCUUUUCCAACACCACAUUCAGCUCAAACAACACCUUUUAUUCCUUCAACAUCAACCUCAGAGCAACCCGAAACUUCAAAAACGACAGUGUCUGUUUCCACAGCUGCUCCAACAACCUUUAUCACCACAGUGUCCUCUCAAGUUGCAUUUGUGCCAACAGAAACUACAGCAAAAACAACCUAUCAACCAACAUCUGUUAUAUAUACUUAUCCUGAUGUUCCAACAACUGAUUGGAGAGUGAUCCAAACCACAUCAACUCCAUUACCAGAAACAACCCAAACCAGUGCCAGGACAGCAGAGACACCACUUACUACCUACACCACCAUGCCAUUCACCUCAGCACCUACAGAAGAAACAUCAACAUUGCUUACAUCACAUGUGACACCCAUUGACAAAACAACUUCUAGAGUCGUCUCAGCUUCUACUAUGCUGAGCCCUACAGAGUCUCACUGGAGUUUAGUUUCCACCACUGCUCUCCUUUCAGACAAAGUCAGCACAACAUCAAUUCAUCCUCCUUAUUCUAUGACAACUAUGACCACCACAUCUGAACUGCCUGAGAUUUCUCCAGCAUCACCAUCCAUACUUACAACGGCAACAUCAGUAUCUGAAGCCCCAACAAAAACCACAGAAACAACCAUCACUUCUGAGAAACCUCUGCUAACGUCUACUGCAGCUGAGAAGGAGAUUGUUUCUACCAGUCAAACAUCUACAGCUAGACCUUGGAGUAUACAUUCUGUCACAGAGACAACUAGGGUUCCUCUUGAAACAGAUAGAGCUGUGCUGUCAACUGCUGCGACAACCCAGACAUCAACACUGGUCCAUGAGACCUCCAGCACCUUUCCUUCCACAAUGACUCUGAAAUUCACAACCCGUGUCACACCAGACCUGACCUCACGAGUGGCUGUGGCUACCACACAGCGAGAAACUCCACGGGUUGUGGCCACAACCAGCAUUUCACUUCCAACUAGGAAUGCAACAACAUUAACAACACCUGCAACCACUUAUUCAGAAGUGACCACUGUUUCCACAGAUACAACUACUUCUAGUAUCCCUGUUGCUGCUUCUAGCACACUUCCAACACAUAGUCCUGACACCACUGAAUACACCUUUGGAUUUACAGAGUACACCACUGAAUCUGGUCCGACCACAACACUGCAGUCAUCAGUUGGAACAACUCCAGUGCCUAGUGUGUCAUCAGUUUUUACCCAAACUACAAUUUCAACACAGCCCCCUACUUCCUCUACUGUCACUGAGAGUAGUCCCAUAACCAGUGCAAGUGCCUCUACGGAGCGCCCUCUGGUGGAUGAACACACCACAGUCACAGCCAUGGCACCUGCUCCAGACACUGCCCAAACAACACUGAGUUCAUCUGUGAUGACCAGUCUUCCCUACACGAUAGAAACAGAGCACUGGAUGACGAGCCAGACACAUGCAGUUUUAAAAACUACUGCUCUCGAGCCAAGCAGAGUAUGCACC
ensembl:lncRNA